AAGUGGUUCCUCCACCAGGGAGACAAGUUUAAUUACUGUGGGUCAGGGAGGAGGACAUCCCAAGAGUGCUUGGCAGAAAACGCCAGCCAGCCACUCAUGGCGCCUUGGGCCAGGGUCAUGCUAUAUUGACCUGGCUGGUCUGGAACUCCUGGCCUCAAGCAAUCAUCCUGCCUCAGCCUCCCAAACUGUUGGGAUUACAGAAUGAAACUCUAGUUCCAUAACUUCCGGGAGGCAAUGACCAGUCUCAGACUUAAGGAUUAAGAAAAUUCUCCGAAUGAUUCCAGAACGGGAUACUAAGAAACACGGACACUGCCAGGGAGGGCUCAGUGGCUCCCAUCUGCAGUCCCAGCACUUUGGGAGGCCAAGGCGGGCGGAUCACGAGGUUAGGAGUUCAAGACCAGCCUGGCCAAUAUGGUGAAACCCUCAUCUCUACUAAAAAUACAAAAAUUAGCCAGGCAUGGUGGUGCAUGCCUGUAAUCCCAGCUACUCGGGAGGCUGAAGCAGAAGAGUUGCUUGAACCCGGGAAGCGGAGGUUGCAGUGAGGCGACAUUGUGCCACUGCACUCCACUCUGGGUGACAGAGCAUGAGUCCAUCUCAAAAACAAACAAACAAACAAACAAACCAAAUGCGGACACUGAGCACUCUUAUUCUGCAUUUGAAGAAAUACAGAUACAAUGGCAAAAAAAUCAUUCGCUCGGAAUUACAGUAAAGAAUCUGCAAGUGUUGGCAAGCAUAACUUUGAUUAUUAUUUGAUUACAUGAAUUAUGAAAUGCAUGUAAGUUGAAGUUUUAGAGAGACAAAUAAAUAUACAGUAUAAUUGGGGGUUCUUAUUAUUAAGGUCCCUUGUCUUUAUGAUCUGAUAGUUUCGCAUCUCCUUCCCCAUGAGUCCAUGGCAUAAAGUGUCGCUCAGUCAUUUCCUGGCUUCUGUGGGUUAGAACCAUUUAUGACGUACGUAUCUCUCCAUAGUAGCUCCCUAUGAUGUUUUGAUAAGAAGCUAUUCUGGGACCUUCAGCUUUUCUUCUGUUACUACCUGUUGAGGUGAGAGCAAAGGAGAUAGAGACAGCAAAGGAGGCAAGAAGUGGUCUAAUCUCUUUUCCAUCUUUGACCCAAGGAUAAGUACUAACCACAGCAGAGCUUAUAUCUGGCUAUAUAUUAAGGAUAUUUUCUUAAAGACCUGAAGAAAACAAAACAGCAUAACAUUAGAGCCCAGAUAAAUUUUGAACAAGAUGAAGAUUUGAUCUUGGAGCCCUUGGGGUUCAGCUAUAACCUAUCUCUUCUGAGAUGAUUUAGUUAUCCUCCCUCCAGGUGGAGGCAGCUUCACGGCAUUCCUCUUGGAUACAUGUGCAUUUGGGGGAAGACCCUUAUUCCAUCACAAAGCACCAGAUAGGAGUAGAAUCCUGGCUCAUCCACUCUAAUGUGGAGUUCCCCAGUGUCCUCUUUUCCAUUCUACGUCUCACGUGCUCUGACAAUGGCACCCUGUUGGCCUGUCCCUUAAGACAAUGGCACCCUGUCAGCCUGUCCCUUAACACCAUAAACUACUAUUGGUACAUUUUCCAAAGUUUAAGUUUACUUAGAAUAUGUAUGAUUGUUUUCUAACCUGGUUCAAUUCCUUUUCAUGAAUUUGUAUUCAUUAUUAGGUCAAGAUAAAUACACAUUCUUCCUGUAGUUUUCCAGGUCUUGUUUUCUGAACUUGGGAGCAAUUGAUAAUCUGUCUAAUGUGAUAUUCAAAAGCAAAAUUUGCAUUUUCAAAAUGACAGAUUUUGUAGCCUUCACCAUAGUUGUAAUGUUUUAACAAUUUGAAGCCAAUUUCAAUGAGUACCCUAAUUUCUCCAAAUAUUUAGCAAGAAGAGUUUUCAUAAGCAAAGAGUCUAGGCCAUGGAAAAUUAACUUUCCUCUUUCUCACACUUGUGAGAACAGUGAGGCUCAGAGAGUCUGAAUUAUUUGCCAAAGGUCCUAAGAGUGGUGGAGCUGGGAUUCAAAACUAUGUCACUCUUACUCUAGAACCAUACUGCCUUCUAAAAUGUGUCACUGAAUGUAACUUCCCUUAGCACAUAAAACUGUGUGCAGCAAAAGUUCUACAAGCUCCGGAGUCAAGUGGAACAAUAGGUUUUCUGUGUCUCCAGAUAAGUUGACUCAACCCGAUCAUAUUCAAUUCAAUUUUCAUUUAUUGAUCUUGCAUCGGUUUCAGGUACUAAGUGCUACACAUAAAAAUGACCAGAGAAAAAAGAGAAUUUUGGAAUGAGAGCAGAAUGGAUUAUUUUCUUCUUUCUUUCUUCUGGUUCAAAUAGUAUAUCUCCUGCAUAUGACAGUUUUCUUGUAACCUGGUGUAGCACUUUGAAAAUCCAGUAAAGCAGAAGUGACGGCGCUGUAACUCAUGAACUCCACUGAGAUUGCUAUGGUGUGACAAACCUGUCUCGGCUGUCUGUAUAUAAAUUAGGAAUUCCUAAAGCUUUCAGUAUGAAAGUUGCUGUGAACUGCUUCAUUUCAAACUGAAAGCAUUGAAAUGCUAAUUAGGAAGAAUUUUUUUUUUCCUUCAAAGUAACUUUAAAUAACUUUUCGGGAAAGCAAACACAAUUAGUCUAUUUUUAUGGGACAGAUUUCUCCCUAUGAGAGGAGAAUGGCCAUUUUUGUGAACUACUGUUGGAUAUGACAUAUAUAUUUUGGAAGUCCCUUUCAAUCGUUGGAUUUGGCAGAUAAAAUGUUUAUACCGCUUGUGUUUUAUUGAAAGCCAUUUUAUGCAAAUUAAUUUAACACAGAAUUUAAUGAUUUUGGAUGCUGUGAGAUGAGGGGAAACAACCUUUAAAAUUAACAUUGCAAUUUUCAUCUUCUGAUUGUCUCAGCCUCCCCCGGAAUAGAAAAUGCUUAUUCUCUUGGAGAGAGAAAUAAAUUUAAUCUUUACACGGG
rnacentral:lncRNA from 1 species